CGCGGCCUAUCAGCUUGUUGGUGAGGUAACGGCCCACCAAGGCGACGACGGGUAGCCGGCCUGAGAGGGUGACCGGCCACACUGGGACUGAGACACGGCCCAGACUCCUACGGGAGGCAGCAGUGGGGAAUAUUGCACAAUGGGCGCAAGCCUGAUGCAGCAACGCCGCGUGAGGGACGACGGCCUUCGGGUUGUAAACCUCUUUUAGCAGGGAAGAAGCGAAAGUGACGGUACCUGCAGAAAAAGCACCGGCUAACUACGUGCCAGCAGCCGCGGUAAUACGUAGGGUGCAAGCGUUGUCCGGAAUUAUUGGGCGUAAAGAGCUCGUAGGCGGUUUGUCACGUCUGCUGUGAAAAUCCAAGGCUCAACCUUGGACUUGCAGUGGGUACGGGCAGGCUAGAGUGCGGUAGGGGAGAUGGGAAUUCCUGGUGUAGCGGUGGAAUGCGCAGAUAUCAGGAGGAACACCAAUGGCGAAGGCACAUCUCUGGGCCGUAACUGACGCUGAGGAGCGAAAGCGUGGGGAGCGAACAGGAUUAGAUACCCUAGUAGUCCACGCCGUAAACGGUGGGUACUAGCUGUGGGCCACAUUCCACGUGGUCCGUGACGAAGUUAACACAUUAAGCACCCCGCCUGGGAGUACGGAUCUCGA
rnacentral:rRNA from 1 species